GUAAAGCAUCUGUAGCUACGGCUGAGGUUC
rnacentral:piRNA from 1 species